UGCAGUCGACGGGCUCUUCGGAGCAGUGGCGGACGGGUGAGUAACGCGUGAGAAUGUGCCUUGAGGAUGGGGAUAACAAUAGGAAACUAAUGCUAAGACCCAAUGUGCCUUAAGUGGUGAAAAAUGAAAAUUGCCUGAAGAGGAGCUCGCGUCUGAUUAGCUAGUUGGGGUGGUAAAAGCGCACCAAGGCGACGAUCAGUAGCUGGUCUGAGAGGAUGAGCAGCCACACUGGGACUGAGACACGGCCCAGACUCCUACGGGAGGCAGCAGUGGGGAAUUUUCCGCAAUGGGCGAAAGCCUGACGGAGCAAUACCGCGUGAGGGAGGAAGGCUCUUGGGUUGUAAACCUCAAAACUUAGGGAAGAAAAAAAUGACGGUACCUAAUUUAAGCAUCGGCUAACUCCGUGCCAGCAGCCGCGGUAAUACG
rnacentral:rRNA from 1 species